ACGGGGGGGGCAAGCGUUGUUCGGAAUUAUUGGGCGUAAAGAGCUCGUAGGCGGUAUGUCGCGUCUGCUGUGAAAGACCGGGGCUCAACUUCGGUUUUGCAGUGGAUACGGGCAUGCUUGAGGUAGGUAGGGGAGACUGGAAUUCCUGGUGUAGCGGUGAAAUGCGCAGAUAUCAGGAGGAACACCGGUGGCGAAGGCGGCUCACUGGUCCGGUACUGACGCUGAGGUGCGAAAGCGUGGGGAGCAAACAGGA
rnacentral:rRNA from 1 species